rnacentral:rRNA from 1 species
AUUGAACGCUGGCGGCAGGCCUAACACAUGCAAGUCGAGCGGAUGAGUGGAGCUUGCUCCAUGAUUCAGCGGCGGACGGGUGAGUAAUGCCUAGGAAUCUGCCUGGUAGUGGGGGACAACGUUCCGAAAGGAACGCUAAUACCGCAUACGUCCUACGGGAGAAAGCAGGGGACCUUCGGGCCUUGCGCUAUCAGAUGAGCCGAGGUCGGAUUAGCUAGUAGGUGAGGUAAAGGCUCACCUAGGCGACGAUCCGUAACUGGUCUGAGAGGAUGAUCAGUCACACUGGAACUGAGACACGGUCCAGACUCCUACGGGAGGCAGCAGUGGGGAAUAUUGGACAAUGGGCGAAAGCCUGAUCCAGCCAUGCCGCGUGUGUGAAGAAGGUCUUCGGAUUGUAAAGCACUUUAAGUUGGGAGGAAGGGCAGUAAGUUAAUACCUUGCUGUUUUGACGUUACCAACAGAAUAAGCACCGGCUAACUUCGUGCCAGCCGCCGCCGUAAGAC